rnacentral:rRNA from 1 species
UAGGGAAUAUUGGUUAAUGUGCGAAAGCGCGAACCAGCAACGCCGCGUGUGCGAUGAAGGCCUUCGGGUCGUAAAGCACUUUUUGCAGGGAAGAGGAAGGACGGUACCUGCAGAAUAAGUCUCGGCUAACUACGUGCCAGCAGCCGCGGUAAAACGUAGGAGACGAGCGUUAUCCGGAUUUACUGGGCGUAAAGCGCGUGCAGGCGGCAUGGCAAGUUGGAUGUGAAAGCUCCCGGCUUAACUGGGAGAGGUCGUUCAAUACUGCCAGGCUUGAGAGUAGUAGAGGGAAGCGGAAUUCCGGGUGUAGUCGUAAAACGCGUAGAUAUCCGGAGGGACACCAGUGGCGAAAGCGGCUUCCUGGCCCAUUUCUGACGCUCAGACGCGAAAGCUAGGGUAGCAAACGG